UGUAUGUGUGUGAAAAUCUGUGUGGUCCAAAAUAAUAAAUAACUCAAACAAACAAACAAAAUAAUUCAGGUCUACCCUCAGUCGGUCACAUGAUCCAGGUAGACGUCAGUCACGGCCCUGAUGUGCCCUGACGUGCCCCGAAGCUCACCGUUAGCGCUGCUAAUUUAGAAAUGGAAGACCCGAAGGAGGACAACCAAUGGUCUGGUGCUGCUAAUGUUGAAAGGGAAGACUCAAGGAAGGACAACUGAUGGUCCGAGAUGCCUCGUAAGGAGAGGAGGUUGAAAGAUAAACAAAAGGAGCUGCGUGAGGCUGCGAAAGGCAGUGGAUCACUCACCAGCUGGAUCACAAAGAACACAAAAGUGUCUACAGUCUCAGAUCAAUACAGCCCACCUCCAGCAGUGUCAUCAUCAGUAGCAGCAGCCUCCUCACCAACCCCUUCAACAAAAGCUGUUCAAUGAACCCCAUCAGGUCAAACACAGACUGCCUCCUAACAAAGAUAUGAGGUGUGUCGUAUGUUGUGAUUUUAUGUUUCAUUCUUUAAGAAUAUCUGCUGCUACAAUUCACCCAGGUAUAUUGUAGGUAUGUUUAUGGUGUUUCAAAUUCGUGCUCCAUGUGCCCCCCUUUGAACUUUGAGCACCUGCCCCUCCAAAGGUCUCUGCACGGC